UAGAGUUUGAUCCUGGCUCAGAGCGAACGCUGGCGGCAGGCCUAACACAUGCAAGUCGAACGGAUCCUUCGGGAUUAGUGGCGGACGGGUGAGUAACACGUGGGAACGUGCCCUUUGGUUCGGAACAACUCAGGGGAACUUGAGCUAAUACCGGAUGUGCCCUUCGGGGGAAAGAUUUAUCGCCAUUGGAGCGGCCCGCGUCUGAUUAGCUAGUUGGUGGGGUAAAGGCCCACCAAGGCGACGAUCAGUAGCUGGUCUGAGAGGAUGAUCAGCCACAUUGGGACUGAGACACGGCCCAAACUCCUACGGGAGGCAGCAGUGGGGAAUCUUGCGCAAUGGGCGAAAGCCUGACGCAGCCAUGCCGCGUGAAUGAUGAAGGUCUUAGGAUUGUAAAAUUCUUUCACCGGGGACGAUAAUGACGGUACCCGGAGAAGAAGCCCCGGCUAACUUCGUGCCAGCAGCCCCGGUCAA
rnacentral:rRNA from 1 species